UGUGAGAGGGGCAUGCGAGGGCUGUCGCUGACUCAAAGUCGUGCACGCCCGAGUGUGUCGCCUCACAUAAUAAUCCAUCUCACCCUUUGUGCAUCACCGCGUGGGCACCCCUUUGGGAUCAUCUCGGAGGGGGCUCGCGUUUUCACACAAAACCCCCCUUUUAAAAGUGUAGAAUGACCUCAUUUAUGCGCUAACCCGCAAUCAAUACAACUUUCAACAACGGAUCUCUUGGCUCUCGCAUCGAUGAAGAACGCAGCGAAAUGCGAUACGUAAUGUGAAUUGCAGAAUUCAGUGAAUCAUCGAAUCUUUGAACGCACCUUGCGCCCCCUGGUAUUCCGAGGGGCACACCCGUUUGAGUGUCGUGAAAACCUCAACCUCCUUGGUUUCUUCUGGAGACCAAAGCAGGCUUGGACUUUGGAGGCCUUUGCUGGCACCUCUCGCCAGCUCCUCUUAAAUGAAUUAGCAGGGUCCUCUUUGCUGAUCCUCGACGUGUGAUAAGAUGUUUCCAUGUCUUGGUUUCUGGCUCUGUCACCUUUGGGACCCGCUUCUAACCGUCUUCAACCUUGCGUUGAGACAACGUUCGAGCAUGUCUCCCUUCUCGGGAAGCUCCCUCGACCCCACGAACCCUUGACCUCAAA
rnacentral:rRNA from 1 species